rnacentral:rRNA from 1 species
GACGAACGCUGGCGGCGUGCCUAAUACAUGCAAGUCGAGCGAAGUUUUUCUGGUGCUUGCACUAGAAAAACUUAGCGGCGAACGGGUGAGUAACACGUAAAGAACCUGCCUCAUAGACUGGGACAACUAUUGGAAACGAUAGCUAAUACCGGAUAACAGUAUUUCUCGCAUGAGAGAUAUUUAAAAGUUGGUUAUGCUAACACUAUGAGAUGGCUUUGCGGUGCAUUAGCUAGUUGGUGGGGUAAAGGCCCACCAAGGCGACGAUGCAUAGCCGACCUGAGAGGGUGAUCGGCCACACUGGGACUGAGACACGGCCCAAACUCCUACGGGAGGCAGCAGUAGGGAAUCUUCCGCAAUGGGCGAAAGCCUGACGGAGCAACGCCGCGUGAGUGAAGAAGGAUUUCGGUUCGUAAAGCUCUGUUGUUAGGGAAGAAUGGAUAUGUAGUAACUAUACAUGUACGAG